AUUGAACGCUGGCGGCAUGCUUUACACAUGCAAGUCGAACGGUAACAGUCCUUCUUUUGCUUUCGAGUGUCGCACGCGUUCUUAAUUCAUCGUAUCUUGCCCAGAGCUUUGUUUUAACGCAUCUAAAGCUGUGCUAAUACCUCAUGUGAUCUGAUGAUUAUAUCGGGGACCAAUCAGCAUUCUUUGUCCUCUCUCCUCUUUAUCUUCCGAUUUCAGAUUAGGUAGUUGGUUGGGUAAAGGCCUACCAAGCCGACGAUCUGUAGCUGGUAUGAGAGGACGACCAGAAAAACUGGGACUGAGACACGGCCAAGACUCCUACGGGAGGAAGCAGUGGGGAAUGUUGGACAAUGGGCGCAAGCAUGAUCAAGCAAUGCCGCGUGAGGGAAGAAGGAAUUGGGGUUGGAAACCGCUUUUGUACGGAACGAAAAGGAUCUGGCUAAUAACUGGGGGUGAUGACGGUACCGGAAGAAUAAGCACCGGCUAACUACGUG
rnacentral:rRNA from 1 species